GAUCAACGGGAACCACGCGGCAUCAGCUAUUAACUCGUAUUUGUAACAGAGCUGUACGAGAUCUCCAGCUGAGAGAAGAGAGAGCUCUUCUCGCAGAGAGAGAGAAACAGCUCCAAACUUCAGUUCCUGCGGAACCAGAGGGAGGUGCAGUGCUUGAAGCAUUGCAACCCACCACCCCGGUGGGGCAUAAACAUCCCGGAUCAGACCAAUUGCUCCUGGGAGCCCGGGCUGUUAAAAGGCCAAAAAGGACAUCUAUAGACCGGGAGCAGUGGCCUGAACCAACCCACUUCCACUUCCGCAGCUGCUGAUGCAAUACAAGCAGGUACUUUUUUUUUAUUGAAAGAAUAUUUAGAUUUAGAUAGGAGUGGUUAUGAGAACCAUCUCUCUGUGUUGAGUUUAGCCUAUGUACCUGACUGACCUGUUGAGGCUUAAGUUGUGAAAAACCAUCAUACCAUUUUGUGUUUUGAAGUCUUAAAAUAAACAUACCCACAAAAUAAUGUUAUCUCUAUUGUGUUUUGUUACAGAUCUUUGGGUAUCCAGCCCUGAGGCAAGUCCGGCGCCAUCUACGGUGGUGAUGAGCCCAUUAACGACUGGGUCUUGGACUCCGAAGAGGAAUGGGAUGAUGGCCCAGAAUGUUUUUUUUAAUUAUUUUUCUAUUUUAUUACUAGUUUUUCUUGGGGGUUUUUGUUUUUUAAAGUAUUUUAU
rnacentral:lncRNA from 1 species